rnacentral:ribozyme from 13 species
AAAAUUAAAGUGACUAAAACAGAGAAAGGAUACAAUUGUCUUUGAAUAUCAACGGAAAUGUGAGACAUAUUCUUACUUCCUUCGUUUGUGUGCACCUUUCUUUUUUUUGCCCUUUUUGUUGUUGUUGUUU